UGGGGGAAUAUUGGACAAUGGGCGAAAGCCUGAUCCAGCAAUGCCGCGUGUGUGAAGAAGGUCUUCGGAUUGUAAAGCACUUUCGACGGGGACGAUGAUGACGGUACCCGUAGAAGAAGCCCGGCUAACUUCGUGCCAG
rnacentral:rRNA from 1 species